GACCUUGUAGCUCAGACGGUAGAGCAUCGUUCUUAGAAAUGCGAAGGUCGCGGUUCGAAUCCCAGCCGCGGUCA
rnacentral:tRNA from 1 species